GGAAGCGAGAGUGCUCUGGUGAGCACCACGGCCUUCAAAGCCGCUGAUUGGCGUAAGUCAAUGGUCGGUUCGAUUCCGACACGUUUCCGCCA
rnacentral:tRNA from 1 species